CGAGGAAUAUUGCGCAAUGGGGGCAACCCUGACGCAGCGACGCCGCGUGAGUGAGGAAGGCCUUCGGGUCGUAAAGCUCUGUCAAAGGGAAAGAAGUGUAUAGUGGCUAAUACCUGCUAUGCUUGACGGUACCCUUAAAGGAAGCACCGGCUAACUCCGUGCCAGCAGCCGCGGUAAUACGGAGGGUGCAAGCGUUGUUCGGAAUUACUGGGCGUAAAGGGCGCGUAGGAGGUUUGAUAAGUCAGAUGUGAAAGCCCACGGCUUAACCGUGGAAUUGCAUUUGAUACUGUCAGACUUGAGUACCAGAGGGGAAAGUGGAAUUCCCGGUGUAGAGGUGAACUUCGUAGAUAUCGGGAGGAAUACCGGUGGCGAAGGCUACUUUCUGGCUUGAUACUGACGCUGAGGCGCGAACGCGUGGUGAGCAAACA
rnacentral:rRNA from 1 species